GGUUAAGCUAUUAAGGGCGCACGGAGGAUGCCUAGGCGCCAGGAGCCUAAGAAGGACGCGGCGAACAGCGAAAUUGCCUCGGGGAGCCGUAAGCAGGCUUUGAUCCGGGGAUGUCCGAAUGGGGAAACCCGGCUGGGGUCAUGCCCAGUCAUCCAUGAGUGAAUACAUAGCUCAUGAGAAGGCACACCCAGGGAACUGAAACAUCUAAGUACCUGGAGGAGAAGAAAACAAGAGUGAUUCCGUCAGUAGCGGCGAGCGAAAGCGGAUUAGCCCAAACCUGAGAGCUUGCUCUCAGGGGUUGUGGGACGUCUCACAUGGAGUUACAAAGGAGCAGGUUAGGCGAAGAGGUCUGGAAAGGCCCGGCAUAGAGGGUAAAAGCCCCGUAGCCGAAAGUCUGCUCCCUCCGAGACGGAUCCCGAGUACCGCGGGACACGAGAAACCCCGUGGGAAUCCGGCAGGACCAUCUGCCAAGGCUAAAUACUCCCUGGCGACCGAUAGUGAAGCAGUACCGUGAGGGAAAGGUGAAAAGCACCGCGGGAGCGGAGUGAAAAAAGAACCUGAAACCGUGCGCUUACAAGAAGUCAGAGCCCGAUCUAGGGGUGAUGGCGUGCCUUUUGUAGAAUGAACCGGCGAGUUACGUUUACGUGCGAGGUUAAGCGGAGAGCGGAGCCGCAGCGAAAGCGAGUCUGAAUAGGGCGCUUGAGUACGUAGUCGUAGACCCGAAACCGGGUGAUCUACCCCUGUGCAGGGUGAAGGUGAGGUAACACUUACUGGAGGCCCGAACUCGUGAGCGUUGAAAAGCUCUGGGAUGACGUGGGGGUAGGGGAGAAAUUCCAAUCGAACUCGGAGAUAGCUGGUUCUCCCCCGAAAUAGCUUUAGGGCUAGCCUCGAGAUUUAGCAUCAUGGAGGUAGAGCACUGAUUGGGUGCGGGGCCCGCCAAGGGUUACCAAGUCCAGUCAAACUCCGAAUGCCAUGGAUGUAUGCUCGGGAGUCAGACGGCGAGUGCUAAGAUCCGUCGUCAAGAGGGAAAGAGCCCAGAUCAUCAGCUAAGGUCCCCAAGUGUGUGUUAAGUGGGAAAGGAUGUGGAGUUGCGAAGACAACCAGGAUGUUGGCUUAGAAGCAGCCACCAUUUAAAGAGUGCGUAAUAGCUCACUGGUCGAGUGACUCUGCGCCGAAAAUGUAACGGGGCUAAACACACCACCGAAGCUAUGGCUCGCGUUUCUUUUUUUUUGGGUUUUUUUUUUUUUGAGAAACGCUUGGGUAGGGGAGCGUUGAAUGCGGGUAGAAGUCGGACCGAGAGGACCGGUGGACUGCAUUCAAGUGAGAAUGCCGGUAUGAGUAACGAAAAGACAGGUGAGAAUCCUGUCCGCCGAAAGCCUAAGGGUUCCUGAGGAAGGUUCGUCCGCUCAGGGUAAGUCGGGACCUAAGGCGAGGCCGAAAGGCGUAGUCGAAGGACAACAGGUUGAAAUUCCUGUACCACCGUAAUCCGUUACGAGCGAUGGGGGGACGCAGGAGGGCAAGAACGCGAGCUGAUGGAAUAGCUCGUCCAAGCAGUAAGGGGUGCAUGUAGGCAAAUCCGCAUGCUUUAACCUUGAGCUGUGAUGGGGAGGGAAAAUUACAGUACCGAAGGUUCCGUGCUCACGCUGCCGAGAAAAGCCUCUAGCCAGGAGAAGGUGCCCGUACCGCAAACCGACACAGGUAGGCGAGAAGAGAAUUCUAAGGCGCGCGGAAGAACUCUCGUUAAGGAACUCGGCAAAAUGACCCCGUAACUUCGGGAGAAGGGGUGCCUCGGUAGGGUGAAUAGCCCGAGGGGGCCGCAGUGAAUAGGCCCAAGCGACUGUUUAGCAAAAACACAGGUCUGUGCGAAGCCGUAAGGCGAAGUAUACGGGCUGACGCCUGCCCGGUGCUGGAAGGUUAAGGGGAGCGGUUAGGGGCAACCCGAAGCUGUGAACCGAAGCCCCAGUAAACGGCGGCCGUAACUAUAACGGUCCUAAGGUAGCGAAAUUCCUUGUCAGGUAAAUUCUGACCCGCACGAAUGGCGUAACGACUUGGGCGCUGUCUCAACGAGAGAUCCGGUGAAAUUUUAGUACCUGUGAAGAUGCAGGUUACCCGCGACGUGACGGAAAGACCCCAUGGAGCUUUACUGUAGCUUGAUAUUGAACUUGGGUACGGUCUGUACAGGAUAGGUGGGAGCCUAAGAAGUUGGAGCGCAAGCUUCAAUGGAGGCGCCGUUGGGAUACCACCCUGAUCGUAUCUAGGUUCUAACCUGUCACCGUGAAUCCGGUGAAGGGACCGUGUCAGGCGGACAGUUUGACUGGGGCGGUCGCCUCCUAAAGCGUAACGGAGGCGCCCCAAGGUUCCCUCAGAAUGGUUGGAAAUCAUUCGAAGAGUGCAAAGGCAUAAGGGAGCUUGACUGCGAGACCUACAAGUCGAGCAGGGACGAAAGUCGGGCUUAGUGAUCCGGUGGUACCGAAUGGAAGGGCCAUCGCUCAACGGAUAAAAGCUACCCUGGGGAUAACAGGCUUAUCUCCCCCAAGAGUCCACAUCGACGGGGAGGUUUGGCACCUCGAUGUCGGCUCAUCGCAUCCUGGGGCUGAAGUAGGUCCCAAGGGUUGGGCUGUUCGCCCAUUAAAGCGGUACGCGAGCUGGGUUCAGAACGUCGUGAGACAGUUCGGUCCCUAUCUGUCGCGGGCGUAGGAAAUUUGAGAGGGGCUGUCCUUAGUACGAGAGGACCGGGAUGGACGCACCGCUGGUGUACCAGUUGUUCCGCCAGGAGCAUCGCUGGGUAGCCAAGUGCGGGAGGGAUAAGCGCUGAAAGCAUCUAAGCGCGAAGCCCGCCUCAAGAUGAGAUUUCCCAGUAUGUAAGACCCCUGGAAGAACACCAGGUUGAUAGGCUCGGGGUGUAAGCAUGGCAACAUGUGUAGCUGACGAGUACUAAUCGGUCGAGGGCUUAUCCUA
rnacentral:rRNA from 1 species